rnacentral:rRNA from 1 species
UAGCUUGCUAUCAGGCGUCGAGCGGCGGACGGGUGAGUAAUACUUAGGAAUCUACCUAGUAGUGGGGGAUAGCUCGGGGAAACUCGAAUUAAUACCGCAUACGUCCUACGGGAGAAAGGGGGCAACUUGUUGCUCUCGCUAUUAGAUGAGCCUAAGUCGGAUUAGCUAGAUGGUGGGGUAAAGGCCUACCAUGGCGACGAUCUGUAGCUGGUCUGAGAGGAUGAUCAGCCACACCGGGACUGAGACACGGCCCGGACUCCUACGGGAGGCAGCAGUGGGGAAUAUUGGACAAUGGGGGAAACCCUGAUCCAGCCAUGCCGCGUGUGUGAAGAAGGCCUUUUGGUUGUAAAGCACUUUAAGCAGUGAAGAAGACCUAACGGUUAAUACCCGUUAGCGAUGACAUUAGCUGCAGAAUAAGCACCGGCUAACUCUGUGCCAGCAGCCGCGGUAAUACAGAGGGUGCAAGCGUUAAUCGGAAUUACUGGGCGUAAAGCGAGCGUAGGUGGCUUGAUAAGUCAGAUGUGAAAUCCCCGGGCUUAACCUGGGAACUGCAUCUGAAACUGUUAGGCUAGAGUAGGUGAGAGGGAAGUAGAAUUUCAGGUGUAGCGGUGAAAUGCGUAGAGAUCUGAAGGAAUACCGAUGGCGAAGGCAGCUUCCUGGCAUCAUACUGACACUGAGGCUCGAAAGCGUGGGUAGCAAACAGGAUUAGAUACCCUGGUAGUCCACGCCGUAAACGAUGUCUACUAGUCGUUGGGUCCCUUGAGGACUUAGUGACGCAGCUAACGCAAUAAGUAGACCGCCUGGGGAGUACGGCCGCAC